GCUGUUUUGUUUUCACAAUGCCAAGAUGUCCUGUGUGAGCUAGGUUGAUUGUUUUUUUCUUGGAGAGAGAUUGGAAGAACGAGCAGUGUUCCUCUCAGAAUGACCUUUGCUUGUGUAUUGAUUGUUAGUUCAUGUUUCAUGCAAGAGUGCUUUUAAUGUUUGGAAAUCAGCAUCUUGUGUGUCAUGUGGUGAAUCUUUCCAGGUUCCUGUGGACAAUAGGCGCAUCACCUCUGUAGAGCUGAGCCUUUUCUUUGUUUCUUCUCGCACCUCUUCUAAAGUCAUCACUUUGGGAACUGUGUUGUCAAUGAUAACUUUCACAUAUUUCUGCCAUGUGAGAGGUUCUUUGUGGGGUUUCCUUUGCGAUGGGAUGCCUUGACAUGGUCUGUGAUGACCGUGAAGUGAGCUCCGUAGAGAAACAAGUGAAAGUUUUCGCAUGAACAGAUGAUCGCCAAAGCUUCUCUUUCGGUUUGUGAGUAGCGCUGGUCAACCUCUGAGAGCGCUCGGCUGGCAUAUGCAAUGAUAUGGGCGUCUUUGUCACUUGUAGGGUUGUGCUGACUUAGUAUGGCACCUAAACCAAUUGGGCUGUCGUCAACUAACAGUGUCGACCUCUUGGCUGGGUCAAAGUAGGCUGUCGUCGUGUGCUUCAUCAGACGUGUUCUUAAUUUUUUUCAUCGCAGACUGAUGCUGUGGUCCCCCCCAGGUGUGAUCUUUUCUUGGGAGCUCGCGAAGAGGCUGUGCGGUUGUUGCAAAGUCUGGUAUGAACCGUGAGCACUAUUGUGUCAUGCCCAGGGGACUGCGAACCUCCGAGGCGCUGGCAGAUUCUGUAUGGCUUAGAUUUUCUUUGGAUCUGAGGGAAAUGCCUUGCUCUGAGAAAACAUAGCCAUAAAAACUCAAGUGUUGUUUUGCUGUAUUUACAUUUUCCUUUGUUCAGCGUGAGAUUUUUCUCUCUCAAUCUCUGAAACACAGCUUUAAGACUUGCGUUGUGUUCAUCUUGAGAUCUAGGAUGUCAUCACUCAUGUUUCUCACGUUGGGAAUGCUUUGUAGCACUUGCUGUAUUGCAUUUUGAAACACAUCGGCAGCUGAAUUUAUGCCAAAGUUCAGUCUGGUGUAUCUCUAGAGGCCAGUAUGUGUAGUGAAGGUUUGUGAUGUUCCUUGAGACUGGAUGUAACUUGGAUUUUUAGUGUGUCAAGCUGCUGUUGAACCUUUUCUCCCAUGUGAAAAGGAAUCCUCCUGUGUGGUUGUACUGCUGGUUGCACUGUGUCAUCAAUGUGCAGCUUCACUUGAAAGUCUGAGUUUUCCUAUAUCUUAGAAGAGGUCCUGGUAUUCAUUGGUAAGCUGGCUUAUGAAUGAACCAUCAGCUGGUUCACUUGGAGUGGAUAGAGAGUUGAUUAUUUUUAGAAGUCCAAGGUCUGUAGUAGUGAGCCAGAGUCACCUUUGGAUUACAUAGAAAGUGGUAUCUACCAUCUUAGUCUUAGAGCGGACUGGUGCUGUGAAUUGUCCUCUCAGUGGAAGUGGUUCGGAUGGGCCAUAAGCAAAGAUGUUUGCCUUGGCCUGUUUUAAUUCACAGCUGGGCAUUAACUUGUCAUAUGUGACAUCAUCAACAAUGUCAACACUUGCUCCCGAAUCAAUAAUAACAUCCACAGUUGUAUUCAUAAUGGUAACUUGGAUGUGUGGUUGCGACGGUUUCUUUCUUAUACACAUAAGCAUUAUCAUGAGCUUGGCGAGAUGUCUUGUGUUUUUGUCUUAUUGUCAUCAUGUGACUGCACUUUAUGCACUUUGUGUUUCGGACGCCGUUGGGUUAGUUUUUCAGCAACUGGAGGAGUGGACUCUGUGGUUUGUGACCUACAGCAUUUUAGAAAGUGAUUCAACUUCCACAUCCUUUACAUUUUGUUUCACCUUGCAGGGCAGUUUGUUUGUCCUCUGUCGUGUGGGAAUUUUCCUCUGCGGUUAUUGCAUGUUCUGUUUUGACGUUUGUCACUUUCAUUUAUGUAGCCCUGGCUUUUGUUAUAUUUUUUUAUUUUGUACAGCGCACACUGAAAGUAAUUUUUGUGAUUUUGAUUGAACAUUCUCCAUGCCUGCAGCUUGUUUAUCCGACAUCUUGUGCACUGCCUGUAUCAAGUAGUUGUUGGAGAGCCAUUGAACCACCCUUUAGCGCCACCCAGCGGAGGAACGCGGAACUGCAGCUUAUUAUUAUCUGUGGCUUUAUUUCUUUAUCAACGUUUGCAAACUCGCAUGUGGAUGCUAGAUCUCAAUCUUGUGUGGAUAAUACAGUGCUACCGACGCUGCCCGCUACCAAAGACUGUGGGCUCUCCUUCUCCGUGGCUGAUGUGAGUAAGACAUUUAAACGUGUUAACCCUCGAAAGGCUGCUGGCCCAGACAGCAUCCCUAGCCGCAUCCCCAGAGCAUGCACAGACCAGCUGGCUGGUGUGUUUACGGACAUAUUCAAUCUCUCCCUAUCCCAGUUUGUUGUCCCCACAUGCUUCAAGAUGGCCACCUUUGUUCCUGUACCCAAGAAUGCGAAGGUAACUGAACUGAAUUACUAUCGCCCAGGAGCACUCACUUCUGCCAUCAUGUGCUUUGAUAGUGUGCUUUGAGAGACUAGUCAAGCAUCAUAUCACCUCCACCUUACCUGUCACCCUAGACCCUGCCCCAAUAGGUCCACAGACGAUGCAAUCGCCAUCACACUGCACCCUAUCACCCCAUCCCAUCUGGACAAAAUGAAUACCUAUGUAAGAAAGCUGUUCAUUGACUACAGCUCAGCAUUCAACACCAUAGUACCCUCCAAGGUCAUCAUUAAGCUUGAGGCCCUGGGUCUCAACCCCGCCCUUUGCAAUUGGGUCCUGGACUUCCUGAAACAACAUCUCCACUUCGCUGAUCCUCAACACUGAGGCCCCACAAGGGUGCGUGCUCAGCCCCCUCCUAUACUCCCUGUACAACCAUGACUGUGUGGCCAUGCACACCUCCAACUGAAUCAUCAAGUUUGCAGACGACACAACAGUACUAGGCUUGAUUACCAACAACGACGAGACAGCCUACAGGGAGGAGGUGAGGGCUCUCGGAGUGUGGUGUCAGGAAAAUAACCUCUCACUCAACGUCAACAAAACAAAACAAAGGAGAUGAUCGUGGAAACAGGAGAGGGAGCACCCCCCGAUCCACUUUGAUGGGACAGCAGUGGAGAAGGUGGAAAGUGUUAAGUUCCUCUGUGUACACAUCACG
rnacentral:lncRNA from 1 species